AUGAAAAACCUUGUAUAAUCAAAUUAUUACUAUUAUUUCAUUUAGAGUGAUAGGAUUUAAAGAGGGCAUGAAGAUUAUGAUCUUUUUCUCUUUAUACAAUUCUGAAUUGUUUGAUUUGUUAAAGACAACUUACUUUUAUAACUAUCUAAAAAAAGAGAGAAGUGUUAUAGCCCAGUACUAAUGAGUUGCAAAGCACAUGGACUUUAUCUGUAAUGGCCACACAGGGUGAGCAGAGGGGUCUGUGUGUCCCUGGAUGAUCACCUGUGCCCUCUACCACAGCCCCACCCAGUGUAAACCCCUUGUGCUCUGAGCCCCCCUCUGGCAAAGCUCAUGGGAGGGAAGGCCCCAUUCAGAGUCACACAAUUAAAAGGAGCAGGAAAUAUUCACCUAUUUCCAGAGCCUGGCAAAUAGCAGUUGGUCUGUCUUUGUGGGGGAAAAGAAUUAUUGCUGCAAAACAGAAACAACUAUUUGCAGUAGUCAUCCAAACUUCUAAGCAAAUUUUCAAAAGACUAUAUGGUUUUACUUAUUUGAGUACUCAGACGUAACAGACACACUGGAGUGCACACUAUUGUUGCUGGUGAAAGUGGGCUCUUUUGUAGUGUCUCAAGAAAGAAAUUUCAAAGGGCUCAUGCGUGGAGAAGUUUGAGUGUCGUGGUAAGAUUCGUAUUGGGGGGAAGGGAAAUAAUACACCCUCAGGGAUACAGAGAGCGGGCAGGCUCUAGCAGCAACUUCCCUGAAACUUCCGAUAACCCUCCAUGUAUUUUCUUGGUUCUCCAUAACUAGCAAGGUGUCCCUCAAACCAUCCAACCCACUUCCCUCUCAUUUCUCCUGGGCUGUCAUUGAGCCCUACCCUUAACCAUCCCUUUCCUGGACCUACCAGGGUUUCAUGCCCCCUGUCCAAUCUGUCUCUUCCCAGAGUUUUCCAGGCUAGGCUCUGCCUCUUUAAGUCACCUUCUGGCUUUUAUUUCGCAUGCUUCAAACUAGAAGCUCCACCCCUGUGCCAUGUUGAUUUCUAAGAAUUCUGUUGCAUCAUCUGGUUUCUACUGUGCAUGUGCUGAGCAGAGGAAUUUUCUCUCCUCUUCCAUCCCAUAAUCUGGUCUCAUCAGGCAGCACCCCCCCAGGAAGGUUUUCCUGGUUGCUUGGAGAGUUAAGUCUCCUCCAUAGUCCCCUGGAGUGUGUACAUGAGUCUAAUGCUAAAGCCUCCUGGUAAAUCCAGCUUAAUGGGAUGCUGUAACUUCCCAGUGAAGCAGACCCAAUGUGCGAUUAGCUUCCCAGUUUAUUAAGCUUAAUAUUUGAUUCAGCUCCCUAGUUUAUUAAACGUAAUGUCUGCAUCCCUUUGGUCUCCCUCUCUUUAUUAAUAACUAUCUAACUACCCCUGUUUAGCACCUUCACUUUUGGGAACUUCUUGUAGCUUAGCAACAUAUGGAUGAGCUAAUCUGUUAUUUCUUUGUCGCCCCAAGUGUCCAUUUGUGAGCCAGUCCUCACAUGCCCUGCCUAAAAAAAGAAAAGAGAAAAAGUCAACAAAGAAUGUCUUUCGUGCUAAAGUGUUGUACACCUGGCCUGUAAUUUAUGGCAUCAACUUAAAUGAAAACAUUAACUGAGGCAAGCUCAGAUUCCCAGAAUUUGAGUUCAUUCAGGAAUAGCAGAGAAAUGACAGUGCUGGUAACCCUUCCUGCAGCAAGCUACCGGGGAGUCAGUCUUCUCUAACCAGACACUUACUGGCAGUCAGUCUCUCAGUUCAUAAGUUCUCUUCUUCUGAGGGGGCAUGCAUGACAUUCUCUAUUUCGUAUCCUCUGGUUUCAUUCCAGGUUGAAAUCCUUUCACGUGGGCUAGCCUGGGGACCAGUUAUCAUUAUAUCAUUUUAUCUUUGAAUAAGUGAAUUCCCAGGUGUCAACAGCCAACUUAUAAACAAAUUUUAUACAUAUAACACCCUUGUGAAGGGGAGGAAAAAUACUUUUUUCUCUGUCCUUCUAGUGUUAUCGGAGGAACUGAGAUAUUGAGGAUAUGAUAUCUCAAGAAAAAGAACUUUUAUAAUCUCACACAGGAGGAUGAGUGAUUUUUAUUUGCGUUGAAUUACAUCCCUAGGUUUCCGAAGUCCCAUUUCCCUGUUCUUGAAGGAGUGCAGCUGGGGCUUCGGUAGAGCUGAAAGCAGAGUCAGCGUCCACAGUUCCCAUCCCACAUUGCAGCGAGGUCCAGGUCAGCAGCAGCUAGUUACACAGCCCCAUUAGUCCACUGUGUGUUGGGGUGGUCAUGUGGGUGAAUGCAGGAAGCAGGAGUAUGAGAGCCCCGAAACCAGGAGUCACCCAAGAGCACAGCACGCUAGAAGCAUAUGAGGAACCAAGAAAACAACAAGAGAGCUAACGCUUUGUUUAGGGGAUUAAAUUUUCCUGUGCUCGCAGUGGCCACGCCCAUUCUGGCCAAAGACCCUUUCCCAGGUGUGACUGACAAACAAGUACCUUUCCAGUGUCACCCAAACUUCACGGGUUCAGAAGGCACUGUAGGGAAUAGCCUGGCGGCUCCCCGGGGAGUGUAAAGCCUUCACUUCCUGGUGAAACUGCCUAAAUGAUGCGUCUAUAACAUUUGGCCUUCCCUUUGCUCCUUUCCUGUUGUUAAUAACUAGGUUAAUUACAACGGUAUCACUAGGUUCUUGGCUGAGACACCCUGCAAUAAAAAACACAGAUUAACAGGAGAAAAAUAAAGGAAGUUUGAUAACAUGUAGACCUGUAUCCUUGGGAGAGACCCAGGAAAACUGAGUAACUCCUAGAAAUGGCCCACGCCACCAACAAAAGAUGCUGGGGAAGAGAGAGGCCAGUUUGGGGGGUUCCCAGGAAAAGCACAGUAAACAAGGGUUGUUAGGCAGGUUGAAGUCAUUGCCUUCUCCAUUGGUCAAACUUUCUAAAGAUUUUGUCACCCUCACUUUCUGGUACAGAUACUCCUGACAAAUGGAGAUUUUCUUUAUAAAUGUCUCUUUCAAGGGUAACUUCCAGUCAGUUUUCAGAACUUUCUCUAGGUCUGCUGUUUCUUAAAAAUAAUCAGCCUAAAAUAAUCCCGUGCCAGAGAGGCAUAUUUUGGGGUGGUAAAUUCAGUCACCCUUCACUUGCUGUUGAACUCUUUCCGGGUUUAAAUAUUGGAGACCCAUAGCUUUCGUGGAUUAUUUAGUGUCUCGGUUAUAAACAAGCCAGUCUGAGAAACACACGCGGUAACUGACUUCUGUAGGGUGCCGAUCUGCCUUACCUUCUGCCAGGUCGGUGAGGAAGAGAAAGGCUUUUCGCUGAGGAAGGAGCCCAGCAUGCGCUUCUCCAUACAGCUUUGCAUUCUCUAUUUUCGGUUGCAUGUUUGCAAACCCCUAUGAUAGGGAAGAUAAAAGAUAUGUUUCUUUGUUAAAAGAAAGUUCAGGUGAUAGAAGAGAAAAAGAUCAAAGAAAGCAUUUUCUCCUGAGCCAGAAACAGGAAAUUUAGGACAAAUUUAAAAGCUAAACAUCAAAAACUAAAUAUAAUGUCAAAUGCAGAAGUGACUUGGAUUUAAAACAGGAACACAUUUGACAUUUGCUCUACCCAAGAACAAAGACAUUUUGAACCUAUUUUAACAAAUGCUCCAACAAGAAUUUAUUUGAUUAACUUGAAAAAAUUAUUCCUACCUAGAGAGUCACUCAGUCUAAGAGAAGAAUAUGCAUUUUUCAGUCACACUUGCCUG